rnacentral:rRNA from 1 species
UACGGAAGGUGCUAGCGUUGUUCGGAAUUACUGGGCGUAAAGAGUGCGUAGGCGGCUCACUAAGUUGGGGGUGAAAUCCCGGGGCUCAACUCCGGAACUGCCUUCAAAACUGGUAGGCUCGAGUCCGGGAGAGGGACGCUGAAUUCCUGGUGUAGAGGUGAAAUUCGUAGAUAUUAGGAGGAACACCGGUGGCGAAGGCGGCUCCCUGGUCCGACACUGACGCUAAUGUACGAAAGCGUGGGGAGCAAACAGG